rnacentral:rRNA from 1 species
AAUGAACGCUGGCGGCAUGCCUAACACAUGCAAGUCGAACGAAGGCUUCGGCCUUAGUGGCGCACGGGUGCGUAACGCGUGGGAAUCUGCCCUCAGGUUCGGAAUAACAGCGAGAAAUUGCUGCUAAUACCGGAUGAUAUCGCGAGAUCAAAGAUUUAUCGCCUGAGGAUGAGCCCGCGUAGGAUUAGCUAGUUGGUGUGGUAAAGGCGCACCAAGGCGACGAUCCUUAGCUGGUCUGAGAGGAUGAUCAGCCACACUGGGACUGAGACACGGCCCAGACUCCUACGGGAGGCAGCAGUGGGGAAUAUUGGACAAUGGGCGAAAGCCUGAUCCAGCAAUGCCGCGUGAGUGAUGAAGGCCUUAGGGUUGUAAAGCUCUUUUACCCGGGAUGAUAAUGACAGUACCGGGAGGAAUAAGCUCCGGCUAACUCCGUGCCAGCAGCCGCGGUAAAGU